UACGAAGGGGGCUAGGCGUUGCUCGGAAUUACUGGGCGUAAAGGGCGCGAGUAGGCGGCACUGUUAGUCAGGCGUGAAAUUCCUGGGCUCAACCUGGGGACUGCGCUUGGAUACGGCAGAGCUAGAGGAUGGAAGAGGCUCGCGGAAUUCCCAGUGUAGAGGUGAAAUUCGUAGAUAUUGGGAAGAACACCGGUGGCGAAGGCGGGCGACCUGG
rnacentral:rRNA from 1 species